CCUCAGUGAAGCCUGAAUUCGAGUAGGCUGGCAAGCCCCAGGAAGAAGGCUGGCAGUCAGAGUGGCCACUACAGCUCUCUGCAGCAGACCCUCUUCCCAGGCCAGACAGCUCAGCCUUUGCCAGCCACUCCAGUGGGUUCAGUAUUGGCUUAAUGCUGUGCAGAAUGCCGACCAUUGGGAAUAUUCUGGAAUCAGUACUGUGAGAAUUGCAGUUUAAGCUGGAAGGAUCGAGUGUUUGACUCACAUGGCUCUUCAGACUGUUCAAAAUAGGAUCUCCAUGAAACCUGCUCUUCAGCUGAGUAUCGGAAAGAGGUUCACAACUGGGAAGCCAGGAGAAAAUAAAAAGAAGCUCACUUAAAAAAAAAAUCUGAAUAAACUUGCUUGUAAACCCCAGCUCAAGAUUUAAUGGCAUGGGAAGAACCAUGGGCCUGAAUAAUAACUGGUCUAACACAGGCUGCUGAUACCUAUGGUGGUCUUGAAAAUGAUUCUUGAGUUACUGAAGAUGUCAUGCUAAUUGAGUUACUGAAGAUGUCAUGGUAAUUGUAUAUUUUUUUCUAUACAUCAACUCAAGUUUCAAAAUAUUGUAGUGCUCUUCAGAAUUGCUUCAGAUUCUGCUGUGGUAGAAAAAAUAAAUUAAUCUAUGGUCACUGUAUUUUCAUGUUCAUAGUUGUAAACUGCCCAGGGCUAGAUUGAGUGGUAUAAAAAUGUAACAAAUAAAUAAGUUAAAAAAAUGAUUGGGAUCAGAGGGUGCACUCAACCAGGCGAAUAGAGCUAGGGCAGUACCUACUAUGAUGCUUGCGCAAGCACAAUGUUUGCACAAGCAGACCAAGAGUACAAGAAACUGAGCAGCUUUUAGUGUCUGCUCAGCUACAUGACCUUCUUGCAUGUGUGCAGCUUUGUUCAUUGCACUAGUGUCAGUCACUGUAAUUGCAUAGCCAGAGCAUCACAUCACAUCCCUAAGUCAAAUGUAUUGGCUCCAAGCAAAAAUUCUUGCUCAUGUCAGUAUCAAAGAGGACCACACUGUUCUUCUCCUUAAGCCCUUAAGAAUGUAAUGUGUUUCAGGUUUCCGCCCCCUGGACAUAACAGAUGAACGACUCUGCAUACACAUGUUUAGCAUAAUACCAAGUAAAUUUUUUGUUGUUGCUUUAAAUUCAUUUAAAACACUGCUAGAUGUUUCACAUGAAAUCACAUAAACAAGCCCUAAAAGUUGAAAGAGGCUCAAGUGGUCAUCUACCAGUGCAACUGAAUCCUCUUCUUACUGAUGAAGUGCCACCCACCUUUUAAUACCUCUCCUUUUUAACAGAAUUGUUCAUGCUUUUGCCAUAAAAUUCAACUGGUCUCGAACAUCGCUGCUGCAUACUUCUUGCCACUCUGCUAAUGAAUGUCUCCCAGACAACAUUCAUUUUUAUAGGCAUCAUAAAAGUACUAGCUUAUUUGCUUUGCAAAAGUAAGAUUUUAUUGGAUGUGUAUGCUUCAUUCUGUUAAUUAAGAAAUAUCUGCUGUAUCCUUGAGCUUUGUCAUCUUAAGUUUUGUUUGUAACAGUAUUAAGGUUUUUCAUGGUAACAAUGAAGGUGGAUACACACAACAAGAAGUCAAGUAGCUGUAGCUUGAAAGCUUGUUGUGUGACACUCCUUAUCGAUGUAGAUGGGUGAUGGUUGCCUGCAGUCUUUGAUCAUGUGGCUAAGCCACUAUUGUCACCCAUUCACUUCCCUAGAUUUCUUGUAUAGAGAGAGGACUGGGCUUGUUUGCAUGUUCAGAUGCUAUGGACCAAACAUGGUUGCAGCCACACCAACCUAGCGUAUUAUGGGUUUGCAUUCCUUCUGCUUCUUGGCACACUUCAAAUGUCUUAUGCCUGCAAGCAUAGAUUCCAGGUGGAUAUUGACUGAAUAAAUUAAAGGUUGACUACAUAAAGGCUAGAUUCAGAUUCAUUAAACUCAACUGCAGCUCUGUCUUGAGCAGUCUCAGGCUUUAGGUGUGCUGUUGAACUGGGCACCUCUUGUUUUCCAUUUUAUGUAGAAAUUUUAUGUAGUUUUAUACAUUGCAUUUGUGGUGGCAACAUCGUGGAAAA